UUGAACAAAGCCGUGGUCUCACACAGUCAGAUGAUCUGCAGUACCUCGUCCAGACUGCUGAAUCCACAACAGAAGUCGAAAGUGGAUGGGACAGUGACAUGUCGUCCAUUUUGAUCCUUGUGCACCUGCUGCCGCCGUCACCUCAAGGCCGAAAGAGACCAGGAAAGCUCUCUGCCAGACAAGCCAGUGAGAAUCUUGUGAAGUUCAUCAAGACAGGGACCAGCAUCCAGGGGCAUCUCGAUGGAAUCGCAGGCAGCCUUCAACCAUACCUGCUUGCUGUGGGAACUCAGAGGAAUGUGAUUCACAAGUACUUCAUUGUCAUUGACAAACAUGCAAUAUCUUGUAAGUCAUCUGGCUCUCUUGCUUGUUUUGAUGAGCUUUUCAAAGCUCACUUUGUCUUUGGCACUUCGUACAACCACGAUCUCGUCAAUGUGUACAACUUCUUUCAGUCAACCAUUUAUGAAAUCGAUAUUGAUACAACCAAGGUGAA